AAAGGAUCCCUGCUGCUCUCACCUUCCACAACAUUUAACGUGAGUAAAAUGACAGCAGUAGGAUGCAGCCAUCCCCACGCUAUGCCUGGUAUUUACAGGUGCCACUGUGGAACAUUUGAAGGGGGCCUGUGUGUGUGUGCAUGCUAGGAACAUAGGGAGCUGCCUUAUGUAGAGCCAAUCAGACUUGCAUUUUCUUUGUAAUGACCCAGCUGGCUCUGUAUUUACACUGACUGGCAGCAGCUCUCCAGGGAUCCAGACAGGAUGCAUUUCUGGAGAUGCCAGAGAUUUGACCUUUUUUUUUUGCAGGCAAAGCACAUCUUCUCACGCUGGGUUACAGCCCUUCCAAUGAGCUCUAUGCCUUUCCAUGCUGUCUUCAUCUUAGUCUGGUUGAAUUUGGGAUUGCCAAUCGAUAAAAGAGAGCAUUGUCCAGUGGAAGUUAAUAACUUUAAAAAUUGCACUUACUGAAUGGAAGACAAAAAUGUUAUUGACGAAGCAACUGAAGCUUUUGUUUUAACUGUGGCAGUUUUUAAUUCAUCUGCCCCUGUUACUUUCCCCCUGGGGAAAACUGCUCUUUAGCGCAAACAGCAGCUUGGGUUUUCUGCAGAUUGCCAUUUGAUUUGGUUUAUCACUAAAGAGCAGGUUUUCCCUUGGAAAGGAGUGGGGAAAGGGGGAAACCGCUUGGACCUGUGCUUUCUGGGCACGGCACAAUCGGAAGUGUGGACGAGCCCUCAUGCCCUUGGCUUAUUGGUCCAGCUUAAUUUUCAGCUUCUAAUUGCUUUCAAAUUGGCGUGACUGAAAGUGUGAUGCCUAUCCAUGCAGAUCUGCUGAUAGAUUGAGGUGGUGCAUCAAGUCCUCUGCUAUGAGAAAGAAGGCCUGUUCAAUAUGCCAGCUCCAGUGGAUGGGUCUGGGAUGAAGGCCAGAGGGAGGAGAGGUGUGGAGGUGUGUUUGAUCUCCCAAGCCUGAGUUUCCCCAUGCCUGUUUUAAAGGGAUUAUGGCUGCUAGUCAUGCUGGCUAUAUACUACCUUCAAUAUUCAGAACCCCAUGCCUCUGAACACAAGUCACUGGAGAGGUCUAUUGCGCUUGUGUCCUGCUUGUCAGCUUCUGAUUGGCUACUGGAGAAAACAGAAUGGUGAACCAGAUGGGCCUUUGGCCUGUUCUUAAUACACACACAAGCUUUUGGACAGGAAUGUACUUGGCAGCCAUAUAUAAUUUUCUCCCCUCCAUUUUCAUUAAUGACCACUUGCUGUUUAAUUCAGUGGAGGGUGGGGGGAGUCCCAAGAAACCCCAAUGUACUCCUCUGGUAUUUUUGGAAAUGUCAGUACCACCCAAGGUAACUUUCCACUAAUUUUCAAGUUGUAGGAACACCCAUUACUCUGUAAUGGCAAUUUCCAUCGGGCAAAAUGUAUAGGUUCUUUUCCAUUCUUUAAUUGGUCAAAAAUGUUAGUACAGAUAUUUGCUAAACACCUUAUAAAUAGCAAGGGAGUUUUGUGCUGGCUUUCGUAAUAUUAACGCCGUACAUUAAAACUUGUCACGAUUUGGCUUAAGCCUCAUUUUUUCCAAGACACACCAUUUCCUAUAGCUUGGAACAUUUCCCCUUUUUUUAUUCAUAGGAAUAAGUUAGGCUGUGGAUUCCCUUUGAAUAAUAAUCAUAAAAAAGCCCUGGCCUUGGUCAAGUGUAACUGGCUUGCUGAUCAUUUCAUGUCUCUUUGGGGGGGUGAGCAGAGUUUCUGAACGCUUAAAUUGUUUCCUUGAUUUGCUUACCAGGGAGACAGAAUGGUUUACCUACCGGUACUUGCAUGAUGUAUUGAAAUGCAUGAUGCAGUUCAGAGCAGUGGUAGAAAUUGCAUCCUUGUUAUGUGCCCCCCCCCCUCGCUAAAGGUUGCUCUGCAGUGUUUAGAGUUUAUACGCCAAUAUGCUCUAUCAGAGCUCUCUAUGCCCUUGAGGCUGGUUUAUUCUCCCCCCCCCCCAAAAAAAAAUAUUCUUGUGCACAUGUCAUUAUAAUACAACCACCAUUUCUCCUCCAAACCAUUGGGAUCUAAAUCGGAUAUAUUAUUUAUCAACUUGAAGGUAACUUGUAUCUGUGUUGAGGGAUAGUGUUUGAUAAUAAUGCAAAACAGUUGAAAGAGGGGACUAGUUCUCCUUUUUCUUCUUUUUAGGAGGUGCUUGCUUAAGGCCUUUUGUGAAAUAGCAAAUGUUGUUUUUUAAUUUAGGCCACUUACUAAUUGGAUUUCCUGUAUCAUAGGAAAUUCCAAACCUGGGGCAAUGUGUUUUCCUAUCAUGGCUAUGGGUGAAAAGCCAGCAUUUAGAGUUUGCAAUCAAAAAGGGAAACUAAAAAGAUUGGCUGUGAUCCAGGUAAGGUUAGCUGUUGUGUUGUGGCCAAAUCCUAUUGAAAUUGAUGGGGCUUAAGUGAAUCAAGACAAUUUAUUUAUUUUAAGGGGACUUAGUCAUGAGUAACUUUAUCUGGAUUGAGGUUCUUGCAGCUUUGGUAACAUGGUAUGUGUUGUUUGCUGUUAUUUCAAAGAUUAAAAAUACAAAAUACACAGAAGAUAAAAAGAUUGUUUUUAUUUCUUAAAACACACCCAGCCACCCAAAAUUGGUUUGCAACACAUGAAAUGACAAUCUUGCAACAUUAUAACCCCCAAAUUGGUUUGCAACACACAAAAUGGCAAUCUUGCAACAUUAUAACAUUGCAAAGGUGCCUUUUGAUUGAGGAAGGAAAGAAUUGUCCCUGCAAUUAAUGAUUUUUGAUGUGCUAAAAAUAUUUUGCAUUUGUCUCUAUUUUCUUCUGCUCUCAGAUAGUAUGUCAGUAUGCCAUUCUUUUCUAUCAUAGAAUCAUAGAAUUGUAGCACUGGAAGGGACCCUAGCGUUAACCUAGUCUAACCUCUGCAAUCACAGAAACAAGUUAAAUAAUGCCUGGCAAAUGACCAUCCAACCAAUGUUAAAAACUUCCAGUGUCCAUGAGGCUGCUGUUAGUAAUUUUUGUAGUCUCCAACUUUGCAUCCACAGUGCAUAGUGGUGGCUGGUUUUUCCCCUUUGAUGAGGGACAGGCCUGCACCUUUUAUGGCCCUGUCUCUUUUUCUGGUUUUUUAGAUGUGGAAGCCAUUUUGUGUUAUGCCACACCCAUGGCAACUAUUUUGUGCCUUGCCACACCAUCCCUGGGGCAGCCAUUUUGUGAUUGGCAUCUGCAACAUUUUCUCUAUAUCCGCAACAUUCCCUCUAGCUCAGAAAGGUUGACAACUCCUGCUGUAAAGUGUUAAGGCCAGAUAUUGAGGUGCUUACAUGAUCCUGUUACAUCAAUGGGGUUACUUCUGAGCUUAAAACAAAUUUCUGAAUCCUUCACAGUCACCGGCCAGAGUUGGAAUAUCACCACUGUCUUCUCUGUUUUCAGAGUCGAGCUACAGCAAUUUAUCCUCUUUAAAAUACAUUAAAAAGUGAAUGCUACAACAGUACUUUUUCUGCCUUGUUAGAGGCAAAGAUCAGUGUACUUGGCACUAAAUGAAUCUGAAAAAGGCAUUGAAGACCCUCAGCAGGAUAAGGGAUUUCAUGUGGGCAACAUGGAAAGGGAAUAGUCAACCCCCCCCCCCCCCAAGUACUUCACAGUCCAUGAGAUUGUUCCUCUGAAGCUCCUACCUCUUUGGUUAUUAUGAUGUCUAGAAAGUAACCACAAAAAUGCUCUCAAAAUUUUAACAAACCAGCCAUUGUGUUAAGUAAGCCUAAGUAUGAAUAGUUGAAAUAAUCACAUAUUAGCCUUUCCCAGCCCACCCAUAUCUCAGUUUCUCCCCUUCCUUUUUAUUUUCAGAUUGUAAGACUCUUGAGCUAGGGGCCUGUCAUGCCUGUUCUUUGUAAAGGACUACGUUGCCUCCUGUGGGGUUUUUCACCUAUUAGAGAGUGGGCAGGACUUACUUCUUAUUAGUACAGUGGUACCUCAGGUUACAUAUGCUUCAGGUUACAUACGCUUCAGGUUACGCACUCUGCUAACCCAGAAAUAGUGCUUCAGGUUAAGAACUUUGCUUCAGGAUAAGAACAGAAAUCGGGCUCCGGCGGUGCAGCAGCAGCAGGAGGCCCCAUUAGCUAAAGUGGUGCUUCAGGUUAAGAACAGUUUCAGGUUAAGAACGGACUUCCAGAACGAAUUAAGUACUUAACCUGAGGUACCACUGUAUGCUGCUAGAUGAGUAUCUUAUGUAGUUGGUUUUGUCUGUGAUUUAUUUUUCCAUUACCUAGGUUUAAAUUGUUUUAAUGUGUUGUACUUUAUUUUCACCAAGUCGCUUUGAGACUUCUUAUUGUAAAAAAAGUGACAGAUGAAUGAAAUGAAAUGCACGUAGAUGGUGCUAAAUAAAUACAUAUGCCAAAGAACAUAAUGUUGAAGCUUGUGGGGAGUUUUCUCUCCAUUAUUCCCCUUCAAGAAACCAACCAACAGUGGCACCCUUGAGCAGUUCUUUAUGGUGUUUGCCAGAGACAAAUAGACACCAGUUGUGGCACAGAGGGUUGUGGAGGAAGGCUAAAUUCAGAGCUGUUGUUGCAAUGGCCUGUGAGUGCCCUUUCUGGCCCAGGAAUGUCUCUCACUCUGAAAUUUUAUCUUUAUAUCUGAUGGAGAUGUAAGAAAAAGGUGCAGGCGACUUCCUACCCUGUUACAAGCUGAGUGUACAAUUACAUCACUUCAGAUGUUUAAGACUAACUUUAUGUAUGGAAUUCUGCACUGAUUUUCUGUCCUCUCAUCACAAAAUAUCUGGUUGCGGACCUGGUUGGUUUUGUCUUUGUUGUGUGGCUCUCCCAUGGCAGGUUUUCAAAAUGAUGGAAGCCUGACAAUUUUAAUGCUUUAAUUUGUUGCUCUUGCUGUUGUUCAGGGUGUAGCCAGUAGCGUGUGGUCUGAAAAUGUUCCAAGGGUCCUUUGGUAAACUUUUCUAAGCAUUAGCUUAGAGAUCGCUAGUCCCUUUGCUUGCUCCCUCUCUUUUAAUUUGGUCAGUUUAUUUAUGCGAUUAUAAUAUUUGCCUCCCUGUUUGUCUUGGCACUUGAGUUUUUAGGCUUAAUGAACAAAUGCGUCCAAGAUUCAAUUCUUUAGUCAGAUUAACAUUUGUACUCCCCCUGAUUUUCUGUGCAAACAGUGUCUCCUUUGCUAGCAGCCAAAACAAAGCUUCCUACAUCACUACAGUGGUUUGUAAACAGUUCUAGUUCUUGCUAAAAUGAGUAAUUUCUUCACAGGAUACAAAGGCACCAGUUCUACAGAUUUUAGGCAGAGCUGCUGCACUAGAUUACCGGAGGCUAUUAUUAAAAAAAACCAGACUGCAAGUCAGAAUGUGUGCAGAGAUCAUUUUGCGUUCAUGGAAAUAUGGGGUCCCAAGCAGUGCUUAAAAAAGAAAAGAUAAAAAGGAGAGAAUGGGAAACAGAAAGAAGAAAUCAAAUUUUUCAUUUGGCUCAAUUUUCAAAACACAGCUCCUUGGACUAGGCAGGCAGUGUGUCCAUCAAGUAGUUUAUAGAUCUGAACAAGUGCCCAUUCAGUGACUGUGGGACUAAUACUGUUCUCAUGCAAAUAUAGGUUGGGCUUUCAGGACCUUUCUUGCAUCAUUCUGGAUAUUGGAUUGUGGCAUCUAUGCAGAUGUGGGCUUUUUUGUUUGGCUAGGUUUUGAGGCAUUGAGCACCAAAUUCCAGGGGGUUCAAGGCAAGGAUUAAGGGAUUCCCUGAUUCGUGUGGCACCAAAGCACUGUUUGCUGCAAAUUCCUUGUAAACAAUGCAGUGUAAUCCUAUGCAUGUUUCUUUUGAAGUAAGUCCCUCUGCUUAUAAUGGGUGUAAGUAGCAUAGUUAAAACCUUUAUGAUAGGCAUGAUCAUAAAUGACAAUCUGAAAGAGCUCUUAUCCUCUGUGGUGAUCAUAGAAUCAUAGAAUCUUAGAGUUGGAAGGGACAAGACAACCUGUUUGCACUUGCUACAAGUGUGCUGUUGCUUGUUCUCUGGCAGAAUGACAAACAUGGCACUGGUGUUACAGGUCAUUGCAGCAGCUCCCUCACCCUCCAUGUCUCUGGUCCUGUCCACACCAAGACACACAACUCUGUGCCUCCCCCUUAAACUCCCCUGCUAAAUGCCCUCACAAAUAUCCAUGUUUGCGAGCUCCCAGGAUCUGCACUGAGCUAAGUCUGACUUCUGCUGGUUGCUAACUCCUCCCUCAGCCUGGCUUCCUCUCAGCUGUAACUCCUCCCUCUCAGAUACUGUGUUCCUACAGAGCAAUCAGCCACACACACCCUCAGGCUCCAAAAGACACAAGCUCACUCUCUUCAGUCUCCUCCAGCAAUCGUUCUCCCUGUUUGUGAUGUCUGGUUGCGAGCUCUGAAAUGCUCUUUUAAAAAUUGUGUACCAACCACAUAUCUUAAAACGAUCAUCAGCGGGAAGGGAAGUAAAAAGGAAAAUAACUCUUAAGGAGGGAUGGAAAGGAAGGAUUUCAAAGUCCAUUAGAGUCAGCAGUGUUUUCCCAAUGUUUCAUUCACUUGUAGCCAAGCUAGAAAUGAUGAAGGAUGAAUUUACAUCCUUUGGUUUUCUGCCAUGAUUCUGUAAUGAUGUAGUUUCACAGCUGAAUGGCAAAAUUUAGCUAUAAGUACUGGGCUAAUUGGAAAAUGCAAACUGUACCUUGAGAUGGAAUGUCUAAUGACUCUGUGAGCAUAUUUUGUGGGGUGGCAGCAUUUCUCAGAGUUGUGUACCAUGUUAGUGCAAGGAAUAAUGGCUGAUAUAGUGCGUAUAUGUUUUUAAAAAAAUGUUGAGAGUGAACAUUUGGUAUAAAAUGGCAUUCUUAAGAGCGCUUAGCACUAAAAUAUUUGUUUCAUUUACUUUAGCUAUUGGCUUACUUGCUAGCACUAUUUCACUAUAAUAGAAAAAUGGUAGUGCUUGGAAAUUAACUCCCCCCUCCCUAAACUGACUUUUAAAGGGUCGGUGUAUCACAGCCACCACUGAACAGGAAGCAAUAACCUGGCUGAACCUGUUAAGAGGAAGGAUUUAAGGUUGUAAAGGUGGCGCUUGGUGGGGCUUUGCUGAAUGAGCCUCACCUCAACUGACUCAUUAUAGAAGGAUCUUUGCCACAGGGAAAGAUACUGCUAGAUAGAACAGCAGUAUAUGGAGUUCAGAAGCUCGGAUGAAAGUUCUAAAGAUGACUGCCCAUCUAUAUAUUUGGAACUUUCUUGCAUCAUUCUGGAUCAUCAUUCAGCCAGUGUGAUGUAGUGGUUAAGAGCGGUAGUCUCGUAAUCUGGGGAACCGGGUUUGAGUCUCCGCUCCUCCACAUGCAGCUGCUGGGUGACUUUGGGCCAGUCACAUUUCUUUGAAGUCUCUCAGCCCCACUCACCUCACAGAGUGUUUGUUGUGGGGGAGGAAGGGAAAGGAGAAUGUUAGCCGCUUUGAGACUCCUUAAAGCGAGUGAAAGGCGGGAUAUCAAAUCCAAACUGCAGAAUAUACUAAACAGGCUUAUAUGGUCUUCCGCAGUGUUGGUGGGGAAAUCUCAGUUCUACUUUUUAAAAUAAAGAUCACAGCUGAUGACUGAAGGUACUAUGUACACAAGCGUAGCAACUAUAUUUGAUUUUAAGGAGGCCUGGAAAAAAUGGAAAUUCAUUUGCAGUUGUGACCUGAAAGCAUGAAAAGAAAAAUGGCAUGACGAUAAAUCAAAGCUGCCAAAUCAAGAAACAUCUUUUAAUCAAGUCAUGUCCAAGUUCCUAUUAAUGUGCCCCCCCAUCUAUUUGAUAGUACAAAACUGUAGCUGGCAUAUUCACUUUCUCCGCUUUUGGCCUUACCCUCAUGUAAUGCUAAGCCACAAAGCUUCGUUUAUUAAGCCAUACUGUGCAUGAGCUGCAUGCUGAUAGGCAGCCUGAGCUCUGUCUGCUUUGUUGUUCCUUUUGCCGCAAGUAGGUAAACAAACCACAGAGGGGGCUAGCCUAAUAUUAUGACCAGACCCAGUAUGAUGGUGUGUUACACCCUGACAAACCACGGUCAGUAGCCAGCCUGACUACUGGUCUUUGCUAGGGUGAAAACAGACCUGUGAUCCUGGUUUCAGACAUAACCCUAAGCUUUAUCACUUCAUGGUUUAUUGCCCACCUGCAUGAAGGAAGGAAUGAAGAGGGAAGGCUCCAGUGGUGUGCACCAGCAUGUUGGAGGUGCACACUACAGUCAUACCUCAUGUUACGUCUGCUUCAUGUUACGUUCUUUCAGGUUACAUCCCGCGGCGACCCGGAAGUACAGUGGUAUCUCGGGUUACAGACGCUUCAGGUUACAGACUCCGCUAACCCAGAAGUAGUACUUCGGGUUAAGAACUUUACCUCAGGAUGAGAACAGAAAUCGCGUGCUGGCGGUGCAGCGGCAGCAGGAGGCCCCAUUAGCUAAAGUGGUACCUCAGGUUAAGAACAGUUUCAGGUUAAGAACGGACCUCUGGAACGAAUUAAGUUCUUAACCAGAGGUACCACUCUACCGGAAAGGGUUACUUUCGGGUUUCGCCGCUCACGCAUGCGCAGAAACGCAAAAUGACACAAUGUGCAUGCGCAGAAGCACUGAAUUACAACCCACGCGUGUGCAGAGGCGCCACUGCGGGUUGCGUUCUUUUCAUGUUGCGAACGGGCCUCCGGAAUGGAUCCCAUUUGCAACCAGAGGUACCACUGUACGUCCAUAAACCAAGCUUUGUGACUUACAGGCAGAUGCAGGCCCCACCCUUUCCCUUGCAAUGAAGCUUACUCUCAUGUCAGAAAUGUUAAUUGGGUUUUCAGCCUUGGAGAGCCACGUUUUAAAGCAUCUGACAAUAUUUAUGGCUUAAGUUUUGACAGAUUCACAGUCUUAUCUGCCAGUGUGGAAUAUAUGAAUGUUUAGAAUUGCCUUCUCCCGAGCCAGGCCAUUGAUCCAUCUAGCCUGGCGUUCCCCACUCUGAAUGGCAGCCUCUCUCGGGCAGAAGGCUCUUCCAGCCUUGCUAGCCAAUAUCUUUAAAACUGGAGAUGUGAUGGAUUAAACCUGAGGCCUCUUGUGUGUGCUGUGUCAUUGAGCCAUGACCCACCUUGAAGUUGUUUCCAGGGAUGGUGGCCGACAGACCCUGCUUCCAAUAUUUGAAGCUCUUGUCAGGGAUUGGCAGGAGGGAGAGGAAGGAAUGGUCACUUGAAAGUAAACACAACAACAACAACAACAACAACCCCAAAAUAACCCGAGUUUCAUCAUAAAUGUGCUGCUGUUAUCUUAGUGCCAUCCGGGCAAGGCUUGGUUGGGGAUAAACCCACUACCUCAAUCAGCAGAAUGAGCAGGGGAAGUAUAAUCAUCACAAUAAUUUUAUUAUUAAUUGCAAACUAAGCAGGACUGGGUCACCCCAUUUUGCUGUAAGACACAUUAUCUUCUAAAGUAGGUGCACUCAUAAAACCAUUGUCUAACUAAAGGACUAAAGUGCUAAUACCCAAAUGAGCUACAAUAAUUACAGGGGGGGGGGAGUAAGACUUUCUAGGGUCACAGCCACACUAUACAUUUAAAGCACAUUUAAAAAGCAUGGCUUUUUAAAGAAUCCCAGGAGCUGUCAUUCACCCCUGUUCCACACAAGCUGAUGCCAUAAUAUAUUUGCUGGUUUUUAAAGUGUCUCAAUAGCAAACUAGCAUGGCUACUCUUCUGCAUAUAGGAAACUUGUUUGAACUGAGUGAUUAUUUACUUAAAAACAGGACUGUUUGGUCUUGCUGAUUUUAAAACAUAGUUUUAAACCAGUCCACCACAUUGAAUACAUUUGCACCUUCUCUGUUUCAUCAUUUUGAAGGACAUCUAUUGGCUACUAACACCAAGAUCAGCAAGGAUGGGUAUCAACAGAAGUAUUUCAUUGACUAGGAACUGGAUCACUUGCAAAGCAAUGUACCAGCAAACACUGCCUCUUCAGUGUCCUCCUUUCACAAAGAGUAAUGAAAAUACUGGGUCCAUCCAGUGUCUGGCUAACUUUGUGCAUCAAGUCUUGCCAAAAAGCUUAAAUAGGAGAAAGCCAAUGGAGCAGGGCUUCGCUAUGCCACAAGCAUACAGAAGAAAGCUUCCCUUUCUUGAUAGAUUACUACCAAUUCACAGCCAGGUACAUAAAAAAGGGGCUGCCAUAUACAGUCCAAGGAUUUUGGAACGGUACGCAUGCAUCAUAAACAUUUUGCAAAUGUGGUUUAUGUAUUGUAUAGCUUGAGUCUGUUUUCUGACAAGUUUAACAGCCCUGUUCUCCUGACUGUGUUCUCUGGGAAGACCCAUUGAUUGUACUGCAACUUCGGCUACAAUUCUACCCACAAAUUUACCUGGAAGUAAUUUUCAGUGAACUCAUUAAGACACACUUCUGAGUAGCGAAGUAUAGUGGUUAGAGUUUCUGGCUAGGACCUUGGAGACAAGCUGGACUAUAAAUGCAACAAACAAAUAAGGAAAAUAAAUACAGUGAUACCUCAAGUUACAUACGUUUCAGAUUACAGACUCCGCUAACCCAGAAAUAGUGCUUCAGGUUAAGAACUUUGCUUCAGGAUGAGAACAGAAAUCGUGCUCCGGCGGCGCAGUGGCAGCAGGAGGCCCCAUUAGCUAAAGUGGUGCUUCAGGUUAAGAACAGUUUCAGGCUAAGAACGGACCUUUGGAACGAAUUAAGUACUUAACCCGAGGUACCACUGUAAAACAGGCAUGCAUAGGGUUGUACUGUCAGGGUGGAGCCGCAAGUGCAACAUGUAAUUGCAUAUAUACAGCAGAAGCUCAGUGAUGGUUACUUGUUGUGGUCUUAUGACUAUCACUUGCUGCAAUUGAAAUCAGUUUUGGAGAGGAAGCCUUGGAGAACAUUACACAAAUUGCUGAAACAAUGUUGUUUCUACCUCAUGACAGCAACUGUGUGUAUUUUUAAAUUUCCCUGUAGCAGCACUAUUGCUAAGAAGUCUUUUCUCCCAAAUCCUUCCUUUCUAGAAGAGAGUGUGUAAGGGGGCUUUGGUGUCAAAAAUACUAUUUUGAGAGUUCAUAAGGGUGUAGUUGCGGCUUAUGUGGUGGUUGCGCUCCUGAUAUGGGUGUUGCUGCAGCUUACCUGCAUGAGCACCUGUGGAGGCAAUCUGGAGGCAACCUGUGGAGGCAAUUUGGUGUGCCUGCCCUAUCCCAUCCCACAGCUGUUCAGGUGAGCUACAGUGGAUGAUGAUCCCCAGAGGGUGGCUCUGUAGUCCACUGCCACCACAACUACUACUACAAGAGUCACUACUGCAGGAAUGUCCUGCAGUUUUCAAAACUGGUCUUUAGACUGGGAUCCACACACGUUGCAGAAAACCAAGUCAUUUGAGUAAUUCAACGAAAUGGUAGAAGGUGGUAGAAUGGACUGCAUCAUAUCAGACUACAGGAGUGUGAGUGGUUAUGUGUAAAUAUGAAUCUGUCUGUUGACUUUUGCAGGGGCUCUCACAAUCCAGGGCAUUAUAUGAAAGCAUGCAAAAGCUGCUGAAGCUAAACGGGUCAGGAUCUUGGUCAACGUUUAGAUGCAAGACCACCCUGGAUUUCAACAUGUGUUGCUAUGGUGGAAAGGUGGGAUAAUAUGUAGGUGUGACCAUUUAGUCUAGGAAGCACGGUCCCCCUGCACACGUGCACACACAAUCUGUUCAUCCAUUUGUUACUACAGUGGUACCUCGGGUUAAGUAUUUAAUUUGUUCUGGAGGUCCAUUCUUAACCUGAAACUGUUCUUAACCUGAAGCACCAUUUCAGCUAAUGGGGCCGCGCCGCCGGACCACGAUUUCUGUUCACAUCCUGAAGCAAAGUACCCGAGGUACUAUUUCUGGGUUAGCGGAGUCUGUAACCUGAAGUGUAUGUAACCCGAAGUACCACUGUAUUGCGAUAGGAUUUUGUUAGGUGGUAACUGAAUGCGCUUGGUACUGAACUAGUCCCAGACCAUACAAAUUCAAGGUCAGUGCAGGGGCUGCGUUGUGAAUGUGAAAGUCCCCACAACUGCCAAACGCUUUGUAUUCCCCUGGCAACUUAUUUUUAUUUUUAUGCAGAACAUCAGUCACACAUGGUACAUGUUGACUAUUUAGUGAGCGACUAAAUUUUGUUUACAAAUUUCCAAGGAAAAGCAGCAGCUGUGUAUGAAUCAUGUUUCCCUGGCACACUCAAGUGCUGAGGAAAUGGGUUCAGAAUUACUCAGACUUUUCACUUUUGGUACACUCAGAUAUAAUUCUAGUGAAUUUUGAAAUUGUAGACCAAGGAUGGAAGUAGCAUCCUGCUAUGGGCAGGAUUCAUCUAAGGACUUUAGCUUGCGCAGUGAGGUUUUCUUCCUCUCACUCCCUGCAUCCCCCCAAAAUGACUUGGGGUAUGUAUGUCAGGAUAACUCUCAGAGCAUGGCAUGGCAGAAGGAGAGCGGGGAUUUUUCCAUCCGGGAAGCUGGAAUGCUUGUGCAGAUGGAGUGUUCGUAAUAGUGCAACAUUGAAUUCCAUCCAUAAUAUUUUUAUCUGGCACUGGCUACAGUUUUGCGACCUCCCUGAGCAGAAAACCCUAUAUCUGUAUUGCUUCUGGUUGCAUUUUAUGUCUCUGGCAGCUGAGAUGUUACUGUAAUGGUACAGAAGAGAUCUCAUUAUAAGCAGAUGCAAUAUGGUCAUUGAGGCGCAUGGGCUUACUUUGGGUGUCCUCUUUUUCAAAGCAACUGCUUUAUGAAAUGUAGGAUCAUUCUGGAUUUUUCAGUGUCAGCAUUGCAGUACUAUUAUUGGUAGUGUUGUUUUCCUUUCUAAAAAAUUGCUGGUUUUCUUUUUUGGAUGGGGGGGGGGGCGUGUAUGAGCUGAAGUAGGGAUGCCUGAGAAGUUUGCUUUCUGCAAGUUCCAGUAUGGAUGGACCUGAACUACACCUCCCAGAGUAACAUGAGGAUGGGAACAUCCUUUGCUGGCCCCUCCUGAUUCCUGUGAAGUCAGAUUCAGCUCCCUCUGUUGGCUAUGCCGUCUUGGAGCUACAGCUGUGUUCAGUUCUCCUUGUGAAGAGUGCUUUUAUGUUCCUGUCAUCAAAUACCAAAGAAAAGCAGGCUCUGAACCAUGGCUAUUUCUUGUUUCAAUAAAGAUCACAUUUUAGCUAUGGUAGAUUCAGUUCUUCCUGCCACCCCGCCGUGCUCUGAACCUCUGAAUUGAGUGCCUCAACCCAUUUUCUAGAUCGUUAACUUCUUCUCUUCUAAUAGAGAAGCCUCCCUUCCUAAAGGAUAGCUUUCUGCGAAAUAAAGACAGAUAGUCCUUACUUGCAGUAAUUUUCUUGUUCACUUCAUCCAGGCAGAAUUCUGUUUAUAAUCAAUACCUGAUUUAUUUAAGGCUUGCCAUGCAGUAUUGACUUUUUGGUAGUUGUAUAACUCCUUGCCUAUUAUGUGUCUGGUGAAGUCUUUCAAAUUUCUCUUUGCCUCCUUCAUUUUUAACUGUUUAAAUUCUAGUUCAUUUGCUAACCAUGGCCUGAUCCUUACUUCUUAAAAGGCUGCAUUUCCCCCCCCUCACCCACCUUUGACAAAAGAAAGACACUGAAAUAUUUUAUUUGAGGGAAUUAUUUUCGGUGUCUGAACGUUUAUAAGAUGUAUUGCCUCCACAGUAAGCCAUUCUUCCUAUUUUUUAAAAAAUGUGCUGGUUCUGAUGUAUUGCAAUGCAAUGAAUGACUAGCCUUGCAGUUGUUAUUGUUAUUAUUAUUAUUAUUUUAGAAUACGACCUGUGCUAGUUUGGAGACCCACACCAGCUUCUGGUUCAAGUGGGUUGACAGGCAGCAACUUCCCCAGCUUCUAAUCCUUGACUACCUGGAGCCUGGCUGUUUUUGAGCCAAUUAGGUAUAGUGGUUAGGGUACAGAAUAGCCAGUGCAGUGCUUUCAAGAUGCAGUUGCACUCCAGUUCCCAUCAUCCUCACCAGCAUGGCCAGCAGUCAUGCUGAAUUGGAAUUGUAGCCCAACAAUCUCCAUAGGGUACCAUUUUUGCUGCCCCUUAAUUGGAGUGUCAGACAUGGUCCAAAUCUCCACUUAGCCAUGAAGUUGAAUUACAGUGCAAUCCUAGUCAUAUCUGGCUAGGCUGAAUUUUUCUCCCUAAUAGUGCACUUCCUUGAUGUUUCUUAUCUCUCUUCAGUGUUGCCAUGUCACCCUCUCAACCAACAAAACAUUCAAACACCAUAAGCUGAAGAAAUUGAAAACAAAAAUAAGUACAGGUCACAAAUAGCUCAGGUUCUUUUUUUUGUAAUGUUUUGUGCUUAGCUUAAAAAUAAAAUAAAAUAUGUGAGGCCAGAUCAGUGAAAUAAUCAAACCAAAAUAGCAACAGCAGACUCAUUUCCAUGUCAAAUAAUUUUUACUAUUUCCAUUAUCCAGUUAAUUUAAUUAGGAGGUGCUUGUUAUCCUUGCAACAAGCAAUACUUAAUGUAGUCAAAUGACACCCUUAAAAAAUUUCAACUAAUUGUCCACCACAGUUUUCAGUAUGAAUUACUAGCAGUGAUGGUUGAAUCCCUUCGCCCGCCUCCAGUUUGACUCAUAAUUAGCUGGGUUCUUCUGAACUUCAUUAAAGAAAGGACUAUUGGGAAAAGCUUGUUUUCCCCAGCCCUGAGCUCAGAAUGUUCAGUAAGAAAGACCAGAACCUGGGGCACAUCUGGGAAGCUCUUUGCCACCAGCCAAACAAACUUCUUUGACUGAAGAGCAGGAGGGCCAGCGGCAGGGAGAAUGGACUAGUGAGCACAGAAUAUUCAUUCAUUCCUUCAUUCCUUCACUCAUUCACUGCCUUUCUCCCUGAAAUGCACGCAAAGUGGCUUACAGUUAGAAAUACAGCUAAAAGCACAGAAAAAAAUCAUUAAGCAUCAAUAGAAUCAAAACGAUAUAUGUAUGUGUGUCCUCUCUCUCUCUCUCUCUCUCUCUCACACACACACACCCCUAUUAAAAUCAUACAAUUACAAUCAAAACAGCAUGGCACCAGUCCUUUCAUUAAAAGCAGUCAGUUUCCAAAAGCCUGUUGGAACAAGAAAGCCUUCACCUGCUGGUGGAAGGACAACAAGGAGAAAGCCAGACUAGCUUCUCUAGGGAGGGAGUUUCAAAGUCCAGGAGCAGCCACCGAGAAGGCCCUCUCCCGUAUACCACUUUGAAUUGUGCCCAGAAACAGACCGGUAGCCAUUGGAGCUGUUGCAACAAGGGAGUCAUGUGGUCCCCAUAUCAACAAUAUUUAGGCCUCCACCUUAAGGCCUGGACACUUCUGACCAUGCUCAGAAACAUCCAUUGCCACUGUGGUGUAUGAGAAUUGUAGCUUCUGUCCAUCCUAGCAGCAAUGGAUGCUCCUGAACAUGCACAGAGAGAAAGAGUGAGUCCAGGCCUUGAGGAGACCUAAAUCCCUCUGUUAUUGCCAGUGAACAGUUGGGAGGACUAGCUGGCAGUGAUCCUGUUAUGAGUUGAACCUGAACUCUGAUGAAGUUGUGGGCUCAAGUGUCACUUGUGUUCACUUUUCCAAGUGUCUCCACGCCAAAUUUAUUUAACUAAUUAGGGUAAGUAAUUAAAGACAAGAACCAAAUUUGCUCUCUUUCCUAUCCACUGAUUCCAUUUGUUCCAGCUCAUCCAUGAACCAAUGUCCUUAAUCCAUGAAUGUUGGCCAAUCCAUGAACCAAUUUGGGCUGUAAGAAUGUUUAACAAACACACUUUAAGGCCAAGAAUGGAUUCAUUCAUGUACUUCUUUGUACUGAAAGAAGAGUAAAGAGGGAAGGCAGGGCCGGUGGGGGCAGGGCGCUGAAGAGGAAAAGGAAUAUAGACUCCCUUUUAAAAGAGUAGCAUUGUUCCUAUACUGUUUGUGUGAAUGUUUACAGGGUGCCUUUUGUCCUUCACAGAGAAUAUAGCUAUUAGCAGUUGUCAAGUGAUGAACAGGGUGAGCAGGACCUUGGGCAUAUUGAUCUGAGCUGCUUGACCACCCACAAAAUCUACUUAUAUUCGUUGGACAAAAUUGAUUUGAAUCCAUGCAUUCCAGCUUGUGGAUUGGACUGAACAUUUUUAAAUGUCACGCUCAGUGUGACAAGCAGUCUUAUCACUCGUCUAAGUCAUUGAUUUUUAUUUUAUGUUGAAAAGAACAUUUUGUUUUCCUGUUAAUUAUGUGGCUUUAGAUGUCUGCUUUGCUUUUGACCUUCACCUGCUAUGUUUAAUUUUGAUACUUUGUUGCGCUUUAGUUGAUUCUUUAAGAUUUCUUUUCUCCUUAGAUUUGAUAUCCUCCCCACCCCCCCAAAAAACUCUGAAAAUAUAUGUAAAGCAGUGGACAAACAAAUAAUAAAAAUAAACAUGGCGGUGCUUUUGAGAUGUGCUACACAUUCUGAAUGUGUGUUUGUGAGAAGCAAUACCUUGCAGCAGUUAUUUCUGAGCUGUGUUUCAAAAAUUAAAGCCGGGGAUGGAAAUUGUAUGGAGCAGUAAAUCUGCCCUUUGCACAUUUAUCCCCUUUUAAAUUGCUUCUUUGCCCAGUGGGACGCCGAAGUGCACGGCUGCCAUGUAGAAUCUUGGCUUUCAGUGCUGGAGGCAUGGAAGAUCAUUUUGUAAUGGAAGACAGCAAAGAGGCACGAUACAUACUGGCUCACUGUAUCUUUUCCAUUAGGCAUGGUCUACUCUGGGGACAGAAGGGAUUUAAAACCAAAACAAUGCUUUUUAGCUUGUGCUGUCUGUGCUGGAAUUACUUUUUGAUUCUUUCCCAACAAAGUAAUAGCAUGCAUAUGGGGGUGUACACAUGUGCUUCCAAGUCGAGAGAUGACAGAUGUUGGUAUUGGAAACAGAUAAACUUGUCCUAAUCAAAAGGUUUGAACUAGUCUCCCCAAAAAUGCUUCUGAUUUCAUCUAGGAAGGGGUGUGUGCCAUGUCUUGAGACCUUUGUAGCAUGGGUACAGAAGCUCCAUCGCUCCUGAUAUUAUUGAGCAACAUCAUCCCUGACCGUUGGUCAUGGUCGCUGAGGCAGGUCCCACCCUCCACUUUGCCGGGCUGUAGCUGUUCCAAGGGAAGGGAAUUCAGUAAUGUUUGCACUAGUAAAUGCAUCCUCAGUGUCUUGUUUGCCGGCUUUCCAUAGGAAUGACUUUGGCCACUGUGAGAACAGGAUGUGAAUUAGAUGUCCAUUUGUUCUGAUGCAGCAGCGGUCUUCUUUUAUGUACGAAUGCACAGUCCUGGCAAAGGAAACCAUGCAAAGCCAGGAGGUUGUGGAUCAAGUGAACAGUCUGGGCUGGAGGGAGUGGACAGGAAGGACUCAGCAAGGAACAGUUCUAAAGAGAGGCAGGCCUUUCAGGACCUCGGACAGAGCCCCAGGUACAGACAACUGCUUGGGCACAAGUUCAGUGUUAGCUGAGCCCUUUUAUGCUCCUUGGCCCUGACUAUCUCUUAGGCCCCACCUCCUUGCAGAAGGGUGCAGAGCCUUAAAGGGACAGCCCUGUGGCCUGGAGACUGGCCAUCUGUCACUCCUCCAAGAUCUCAUGCUUUCAGCAGCACCUGUGGCAAGCCAGCUUGGUGGAGUGCAAGCUGACUUGCCAAAACUGAACUCCUUGCAGUGUGUGAUGAGAAUGCCAAACCUGUCAUAGAGCCAGGCUCUGUGGAGGUCUCUGGCUAUUGGGAUCAGGCUCAGUAUUUCCCUGGCCAUUGUUGUGCUGUGAUGACAGGCUCCUGUUAAGAGCACAGGGGACACCACCCCAUAUAUAUAUAUAUAUAUAUAUAUAUAUAUAUAUAUAUAUAUGUGUGUGUGUGUGUGUGUGUGUGUGCACACACACACACACACACACACGGAUGGCACAGGGCUUCAACAGUACUAUAAGUCUCGCCUUCUCACCCAUUCCAAGCCCGGUUUUGUCAUCUAAUGAAGAUGGAAGGCACUGUGCUACUUUGAUGUUCUAUUUAAUGCUUGAUUGACCCAGUAAAUAAGAAUUAGGCAAAUUUUCCAGAAGCUAAUAUUCAUAAGGCCAAUGAGUGAUGAUCCUAUUGGGAAAGGGUUAAGUAGGUUCUGUUGAUUCGCUGUCACACUAGUGUAAUGAGUGUAGAAUCUGCUCUCUGGGGGAGUGGCGAAGGUGGGGAAUCUCUAUCCAAGAAGAGCACUCAUAUACAAAUAGCUGUACAGUAGCUCUAAUAAACUUGAAUAAAUUCUAUUAAUAUAUAUGUUAAUUAAGCUGCUCUUUAGGUUCUACACUCUGAGUAAUGGAGGGGAGGGGAGUUGAAUACAGAGCAGACUGGGGUGGGCACCUGUUUUCAUAUACCCCCAAAUCAGUGUGAAGUUAAGGUAAUUUGCAUAUGUUGUUCUGAUCCUUUACCAGCCGGGAAAAGCUGCUGAAGAACAGGCCAAAUGUUCACUGCCUGCAAAACUACUCAGUUAGCAGGUGCCAUUUUGCUUUAAGAAGUGCCACUGAAUUGUGACUCAGAACCCUCCCUGAUAACAAAGAAAUGCUUGUAAUUCCAAAUCUUUCUUGCAAUGAGUUGCAGUUAUCACUCAGUCUAGGACCCAGGUGGCCAAAUAUUACAAGAUCUCCACCUGGCAAGGGGAAAGUGAUAAUAAAAAUUUAUAUCUUUUUAUGGUGAAGGCCUUCAACACAGGGGAAAAAAAGGCAUUUGCAGAUUUCUUGCCUGCAAAAACGGUCACACUAAUAUCUAAGUACACAUUAUAUCACAUUCUCCAAUAACGUAACACUGAGGCCCCUGCUUUUGCUUUGUAAAGCAGUAGAGUCCGGACAGAUCCGAAGUGGAGAACAGGCAUGGGAAUGAGGUGUUCAGCCUCACUCAACAUGCCAUUGCCUGGUUUCCAGGGGGCAUUAGCAGACGACUUAUAUCCUGUAAAUUUGUUCUUCUAGGACAGCUUCUGCCAACCUGGUGUCUUCCUUGGGGGAAGCCAUGACUGUUAAAUGUAUGGUGCAGAUGUGGCCUUUGUCUAGGAUGGGCCAGGGAUGCUGCUGCUUUGAGUUGCUGCCGCCGCUACUCUUCAUCCUUCUACAGCUAAGCUUCAGUGUUCCACCCUCUUUUACAAGGAGGGAAGCGAUCUGGCAGCAAGGUUUCUGUAUAUGAAAGAAAGAGAGUGAGUGCUAUGAGUUUGCUUUUUGUAUCCCCAGCAGGUAGCAGUAGUGAUGAGAACAUGGCUAGUUUCUUUCUUUUCUUUCUUUUUGUAAGAGAGAGCUGCUUUUCCAUUCAUGGCUUCAUUCAUUCAUUUGAAGAACACUCUCAAGGUUGCCUGAAUAAAUGCUUGGGUUGUAGUCUGAGGAACAAGGAUUUAAGAACAUUAUGCAUCUUUGAUUGUGCCUUUAUGAGACUUGCAAUGAAGGAGCUGUCAAUUUCAGUUCUCUUCAGUCUCUAAACUUUUCCAGUCCUAAAUUCUGCAGCAAUUUGAUUUAUUUUUAUAAAAACCCUGGUGAAAAUUCACCAGCAAAUUAUUGCAAUUUCUCCCCAAUAAACACAUUUUUGUAUGCAGUUUUGACCAAUGUACACAUUUUUUUUGCAAAAAGCUUCCCCUAACAAAAUGCACCUUUGUAUGUAAUUUUCAGUUUUUUUUAAAUGUGCGCUUUCCCCUAAUACAUGCAUUUUUGUGAACAUCGCUUGGUUGAAGAACUGCACCUCAAAAUUUGGUGCUGUGGUUCUCAUAUUGUUUUGGAAAGUGCAAGUUGUUAUAGCUUAAUCUUUAAAUGCAAACUGAAUCCGAUUUCUCCCUUCAUCCCUAGCUGCCGUUUACCUGGGAAGAGGAGAGCAGUGAUACAAUCCUCUUCUCCAGAGUCCUCCUGUUUUGGGGGGCAAGUCGUUCCUUGUCUUUGGCCCUCAAUGAAUUAAUAUUUUAGGGGUGUCCACAGAAAGAAAGAAAUAAACAUUUGAUCAUCUGAAAAUGAGAUGCAAAAGAAUAUAGAAAUGGAAAUGAAGACUAUUGUAUAUGAAGCUGCUGAAUACUUCUAAAGGUAGCUUCUGCGUUUGAUUAACAUGUAUAUGCUAUAUGGGUGUGUCACACCUUUGGUUCUUACUGCUUUUUGAAGUCAAGCAGUAUUACUUGCUGUGGAUCAAUUUCCCAGAUUUUAUCUCUGCUUUGAAUUCAACAGGAUCAGAAGGUUUGCAUCUCUUCUCAAGCCUGUGAAAAUAAGAAGUCCUGAAAUGUUUAGGAAAUAUUAUGUGGCUGCAGUCCAACUCCCUUGUCCCAUCAGUGCAAGGAUUUCUGCACAGGAAGUACAAAAACUGUUUCAUGAAUGCCUCCCACUGGCUGUGUUAUGCGACACCAUUAGUGUGAACAAUUAAACCACAAGGCUGCAUGCAGACAUCCUUAAAGAAUGGGGCUUGCUUUUCUUUCCCCCUGUUAGAAGCUUGACCCUACUUUCCAGCUUAUUUUACAAACAUACUAGGUAGCAAAUAGAAUUCUGAUUCUAUUCUCCACCCUCCUGACUAUUAACCUUUUAAUUGCCAUAUGAAUGUGCCGUUUCUAUUUGUUUUUAAAAACUAAAUUUGAAGAAGGAAAACAUUUUUUUCUGGGAAGUGACAUCACAUUGGGAAAUGACAUACGCUGUGGCAUCAUGGGGGUCAGCCUAUCGGGGUUCUCCAGUGCUGGCUUCUGGUGCGAACAUUUGUUCCAGUCCUUGUAUAUGGCCAUCUGAUCAGCUCUGUAUGCUUGCUGCUGCUGUUCCUCAUUCUAUGAGAUCAAAGGGCAUGGAAUAUACAUCACACAACACUCAUAUGCCUGUGUGGUUAUUUUUAAUGUGCUACGAGCUACCUUGAGCAUUGGUUUUCCCAUGGAAGGGUGGGAUAUAGUCUUAAAUAAAUAAAAAUUAAGAAGUUGUGUUUGUGUGUUUUCUACGCACAUAGAGUUCAUCAGAGGAUGGAUCACUCUUAAUAGACUGGCUGCACUUUUAUGCUUCCCCUGAAGCUACUGGCAUUUCCCAAAGGCAGGAGAGUGGGCAAUGGGUUGUCAUAAUGCCCCAGUGGCCCCAGUUACCUCCCCUCUCUUCUUCCCGGUAGCUUUGUACAAGCUCAAAGAGAAAGUGUUUGAAGUUCUUUUGCCAGCAAGCAAUGAGCAACAACUUGAUUCCAAAGACGCAUUUACAAAGGGGAGAGGGAACCUGUAGUGCUCCAGCUAUUGUGAGACUAGCAACUCCCAUCAUUCCUAGCCAGCAUGACCAAUGGUCAGGGAUGAUGAUAAUCUGGAGGCCACCAGGUUUCCCCCUUCUGAUUAUCUGACUGAUGAUAAUCUAUCUUUAUAUUAGUUGUGCAAAAAUACUUUUAGGAAUGCUAUCUAUCAUACGAUCAGAGCAGAUGGGAAUUGGUGGCCCAACAUCUGGAAGUGCCUCUUUUCGACUGGACAACUAAAAGGUUCCAUGAUAACUUCUAGAAACUGUCUCAGGCUGACACUGAAUGUUUUAAAUCUCACACGAAGGGUUCCUGUAUCUUUGCCUCUCUCUCUUUGCCUUUUUUGGAUACUCUCUAAAACGUAUUGCAAAUUCCCCUCAUUGACGGGGAAAAGGUGAUAGUCAUGGAAAUUUCAGGGGCAUAGAAAACCACACUUUGAAAAUGUGGCGAUUAUGAUUCCCCGUGGCAGAUUAAGUAGUUUUUAUAGUUUGGAACAUUAAUUAAUAUUUAUGGAGCCUUGUGUUGGCAGGAUGGGCCCUGAUCACUGGCUCCUGCAGCUUCAAAUCCAUUUCAAUUAUAACUUUGUUACUGUGUAAAUGUCACAUAUACAUUGCCAAUGUAUACAUUAGCAAAGCCGUGCAAAGGAUGAAACAUACCAGGAGAGAGUUUCUGCUUGCAUGGCUUUAGUCAGUGCUGGCAUCGGCUUCAGCAGUAAACACUCCUAAUUAGGGCUCUGCAGAAGUUUAUAUGCCUGUGUACAAUUAUGGGCUCUAUGUGGCCAAAUGAAGGACAUAAACUGCCUAGGAACCUAGGCUUCUCCUGGGCCAGAGACUAUUGGUUCCUUAGUAUUGUCUAUGUUGCCAGGGUUUCAGACUGGGUUCUUUCACCCUGGAUAUGCUGGGGAUUUGAGCUUGGGGCCUUCUGCCUGUAAAGCAGAUGUCCUACCGCUGAGCUAUGACCCUUCCCCAAAGGAAAAGGGCUUCUCCAUCUCCAUGAUGCUAACUGGGAAGAAAGCUAAUCAGUAGGUCAUCUUCUCACAGCCAAGAUGUUGGCUUCCCAAGUUGCAUUGUGGGUGGUGUUGGUGGUGAAGGGAGUGAAGUGGCUUAAGUAUUAGGCACCACUCAUAAUGAAUCCCCAGCAUGCCCAGGGGUGGGAACAUGUCUCCCUGUUUCGAAGGGAGAGGAAAACCACCUGCCUGCCAACUACCUAAAAGCCAGUGCUGAAAUCUGGUGGUGAUGGUGAGCCAUGCAAGAUAAGGGAUGGCAAAAGAGAGAACUGGCAGGAUGGUGGGAAGAAAGUCAGCAAAGCAAUGGCUUGGUGCACAGUGCACAGGGUAGUUGUUUAAUGCAAGGGUAGGCGACAAAGCUUUCCCUUGGAGGAGCAUAAGAAGAGUUCUUCUGGAUCAGACCAAAGGGCUAUCUAGUCCAGCAUCCUGUUGUCACAGCAGCCAACUAGAUGCCUGUGGGAAACUGGCAAGCGGUACUUGAACACAAGAGCACUUUCCCCAGUGAGAGCCAGUAUGGUAUAGUGGCUAAGAGCGGCAGUCUCGUAAUCUGGUGAACCAGGUUCGUGUCUCCGCUCCUCCACAUGCAGCUGCUGGGUAACCUUGGGCCAGUCACACUUCUCUGAAGUCUCUCAGCCCCACUCACCUCACAGAGUGUUUGUUGUGGGGGAGGAAGGGAAAGGAGAAUGUUAGCCGCUUUGAGACUCCAUAGGGUAGUGAUAAAGUGGAAUAUCAAAUCCAAACUCUUCUUCUUCCCUCCUCACCAGCAUAGCUCAUUGACCAGGAAAGAUGUCUGCGCAGCAUUUUUGUCUUUUGGUAUGGUGGCUUCUGGGAAAGGAGUAACGGUAUUUGUAGGGUUUGUCAUUUUGAACUUUGUGCCAAACCAUGCCAUAAACGAUUGUUUCUACAGCACUGUAAACUAUGGUUUCAGACUCAUAUCAAGUAGUAGUGAAGUCUCCUUUAUCAUGGUUCAUAUGAUGUCUGAACUAAGGGAUGUCUUUGUGUGGCCUCUGCAACUAGUCCUGGGUGGUGCCUUUCAACGAGGUACCCUCCAGAUGUUGUCAAACUUUUAUCAGCCCUAACUAACAUGGCCAAUAGUUAAGGAUGAAGGGAGUAGGGACCCAGCAACCUUUGGAGAGCCCCACAUCUGGGCUAGCCUGUCACCACGGCUUCCAUGGCUCUAUGACCACCUUCUGUGCAAUCUACAAAUCUAGAGGCUAAAAACAGAAGUCAUUGCAUUUCCGAGUCUACAUUUAGAUGCUUAAAUACAUGCUCUGAGUUUCAAAAUUGCUGCUGUUCAUCCUUCAACUCCUACUCAAACAUACCAAAAUAUCAUGUACUUAGUUUGAAACCUGGGACAGGCCCCUCUUUUAAGAAGGUAGGUGCACCUGACUUUUGUUUUGAAAUAAAAUUCCUAGUCUUGAACAACAAACAAUCUUAGCUGUUCCAUCAUAUAUAUUUUUUUAAAAAAUUAGUGAACUUGUCAAUGUACAUAAGAGAAUAUGUUUCUCAAAACUCACCUCACCACAUGAUCUUUAUUUCAUAGGAUUUUUCUUUCCUCACAGAUGCCUAGAAAACAAUGACUCUUGUGGUUAUUUGAUCUCACAAUCUUAUUUGUGAGAGGAUGUCUUCCAUAGAAUGGAUUUCUACUUUGUGAUUUUUAAGGGCAGUGCUAUGAAAUUGUAAGUUUCUGGUACCUUACAACCUAGUUGCAUCAGAAAUAAUUUUAUCCUCUUUGGUGCAAGUUCCCCCCACCUUCCUUUCAAAUUAUACACGCUGUGACUUUAAAGCAGGGGUGGCAGCCGGGGGGCCUCCAGUUGUUGUAGGCCUCCAUUCUGCUUAUGGCAUACUGUACUCUCAAUGUUGAUUAUCAUUCAUGGAGAUAAGCCAUUACCUGUGGCAUGGAGAUUGUGAUUAUUCUCUAAGGCAAGGGACAACCUUGCAGUGGGCAAUAUUUUGGAUCACAUAUGGACUCAUUGUUCUUUCCUUAAAUUGAAGAUCAAUCCAAACAGAAUGGCUGCAUUCAGUUUAAAAAAUUGUACCGUGGAAAGCCCUGAGCUUGCACACUUCUCCCCACCCUACAUCCUCAUGGAUAAAGGGAGGAAAAUUGAAUUUAUUGUGUAGUUUGAGGAAACCACUGUUUCCCAUAUUGAGACAAACUGGGAAAAUGUGGUUUGCUAGAAACUGUGGUUGAUUAACAGACUGACUCUUUGGGAUGGUUGUAGGGUUUUUUGAGGAUAUGGUGGUUUAGCUCCAGAUGAAGGGACCAGAAAGAGGCACCGAGGGGUUUCUGCUUGACGUCUUGCUAAUCAUUCUAUGAGAUCCUGUAGGACCUCAUUUUAUUUCUCCAUGAUUUUCAGCACUUAUAUGAGAGCACUGGGAGUUGGGGUCAUACCAGGGUUUGUCACUGAAGUGUCAUCUGCUCUAUUUCUCUUUGAUAUCUGAAUCGUGUUAGCUGUGCAGGUGCUAAACCAGUGUCUGAAUGUGGUAAUGAGCUGGAUGAGGGCUAAUAAAUUGAAGCUGAAUUCUGACAAGACGAGGCACUGUAGGUAGAUGCUUCUUGGGACCAGACAACUGAUAUACAACCUGUUCUCUAUGGCAUUGCGCUCCCCCUGAAGGAGCAGGUUUGUAACUAAGAUGUGCUUUGUCCCGCUUUAUCACCAGAGGCUCAGACGUCCUUAGUUGCACAGUUCACCAUUUUUCCAGCUUUGCCUGGCUUGCCAAUUGUGGCCAUUCCUGGACGGCGUAGUCUGGCCAUGGUGAUCCAUGUUUCGGUAACCUCCAAGUUGGAUUACUGCAAUCUGUUAUGCAUGAGGCUCUUGGACUACCUUUGAAACUUCAACUGAUGCAGAAUUUUAACUGUUACAGCCAGGUUUUGUUCAUGUUAUGCCAGUCUUAUUACAAUGUCACUAGCUUAGUUUUCAAACCCCAUUUAAGAUGGUGUAUUUAUUUUGAAGGCCCCAAAUACUGUACCAGCCUACCCAUGUUUUGAAAUUUUCUGCUGAAGCUCUCCUCCAAGAGCCUCCCUUAUUGGAAGUGCACUUUUAAGGAUAUGAAUAAUUCACCUCCUGGAAUCUACUGGAUGAAGCACAUAUAUAAGUGUUUUAAAUAAAUAUAUAAAAAAUGGCUUGUAAAAGUCAGUUUCGCAUACCUAAUGGAACGGGAAACUGUGGUUUGCUUUUCCAAGUCCUCAAUUGAAGUUUAAAUUUCCUCCCCUUGUAUGUGAAAGGAGAGGGAGAGAACCCCAUUGUUUGUUACAUCUAAAUAUAGUCAGUUGUUGUUCUUGAUGAUGGAUCUUUGGUCUGAUUCAGCAAAGCACAUUUUACUAAAAUGGUAACAAAAAUGCAGAAUUGCACUUAGUUUCUUUUCUUUGUUUUGCUGAAGAGAGCAGCUAAUGACGGCAUUCAGGUGGCUUUGACUCAAAUAUUAGUUGAAGACUUGAGCUGUCUGCUUUUCAUCUUCAAAGGGCUGCUAGAGAAGAAGCCUAAUCUUCUGGAAUUUAAAAUCCAUAUAAUGGGGGCAUUGGGGCAAGGAAGAAAUUAAUAGAUUAACAGAGUCAUCCUGUAGAAUAUAAGGCAGGAGAAGGGAAAGGAAAAAUCUGCACAGUAUUACAUUUUCUGCUCUCUUCCCACUAGUUCCUCAUGCAGUCUGAUUUAUCGAGGGUUUGGGAGAACAGAUAAGGAAUGGCAAAGGGUUUUCUUCUUUUUUAAAAGAAGUUCACUUUGAACUAUGUCUCUCUCAUGCAUUGUCUGUUUGCAGAACAGAGGGUGUCAAUCAAGUGCUCCCAGAACACCCCAGGAAAAAGUUAUUUCCUACAUGCAAAAUGGAAAUUGCAGUUUGAUGCCCUUCCUGUUCUUCCUAUAUCUAUUUUUUCCCAGCCUUGAGACUUGAUAAAUGAACAUUUUUACAUGACUUUAGCCCUGUGUUCAUUCUCUCUCUCUCUCUCUCUCUCUCUCUCUCUCUCUCUCCCUCCCUUCCUCCCUUCCUCCAGUUUCUCUGACUUUCUUCUGGGACAUUCAGAAUUGGUUCCCUUGAGACACUUUCUCUUUGUAGAAGCUCCUGAGAUUUAAGUAUACAGUGCUGGGAACAAAAUUCUGCAUCUGUGAACUCAUCAUACUUUUUUUUUUUUAAAUGUAUUUUUAUUAAAUAUUUUCUUAGUUUACAUCCUACAUUUUGAGAGUGGAAUACUUCUUCAAAGGACAUACUGGGCAAGGGCUAAGCAACAGCCUAUUUUAAUAUAUAUUAACAUAAACAUAUCUGUGUUGAUAUAGAAUGUAUUUCAGUCUCCAGAUGAGGAAAGAAGAGGUAAAAUGUUGAAGGAAACUAGCUCUCUUUGGAAGGUCUACUAGUACUUAUUUUUUUUAGUAGGAUUUGUCCUUUUAUAAAUAUUCUUGGAUGAUCAUGUUCAGGUAUUGUGUUUUUAUGAUAGUUUUAUAUUGAGUUUUAAUGUCUUUAAUAUAUUUUAUGCUGUAAGUCACUUUGGGGCAUUCUUUUGUGAUGAAUAAAUAUAAUUCUUAUUCUUAUUCUUAUUAUUGGAAAGUCACCACAAAGUGACACAUUCCCUGACGUUCCUCAGCUUUUUCUUGCAUUCGGUUAACACCUGAUAGUAAUUCUUUUUCCUUCAGGGUAGAUAAUUAUGUGAGGAAAUGCUAUUUAAGUAUUUAAUAUGAGGGAACGCUGUAAAAUUAGGCCUGUUUUCAAAACAUAGGCACUGUCUUUAUGUCUGUAAAGUAAUAUGCUGUUUUAUGGUGCUGUAUAAAUAAGGACAGCAAGACUUCCAUCCUGAGAUAAUGAGUUUGUGUCCUGAGGUAAUGAAUUGGGUAACUGUCACUGUGGGAAAAGAGAAAUGUUUCGUGUCUUCUCAUAAUGCAUCAUAAAUUCUCUCCUGAGUGAAAAAUUAAUUGUCCCUGUCUGAUUGAAUAUAGGUACUAUAGCUGAAAUAUGCCAUUAUCUCCCUAUAGGAGCACAUAUUUGGAAACAAACAAAGCUCAAUGUUUUUCCUUUCUUCUGCCCAUGAAUUGAAUUGUGGAGAUUAAACAACACAUUUGGGGGAAUGGAAGGUUAUGGAAAUCAGCUAGAAACCUGUUUUGUUUGUUCUUUAGAAUCACUAACUUUUCUUAAAAAUCAAAUGGGUAAGAGAUAGGGGAAGAUUAUUCUUUGUAAUAACCAUGAUAGAGGCUUAGUUCUGACAAAUUGCAGAUGAGGAGUUAAACCUGUGUCUGGGUGGCACAUGUGGUGAUCCUAUAGUUGCUGUUUGCUUGGAACUGCAAAAUCUCUAAUUAAGAAUAAAUGUCUUUUUACUGCGAAAAUUUCACUGCUCAGUAGGGGCCUCCAUGGAUCAGGAAAGCUGCAGCCUGGCCAUGGCCAUGGUCAAUGGUCAUACUUCCAUUUUAGUUGGUAAAGUGUUUUUGUGAGACAUGGCUUAGAUUAGAGAACCAGGAGCCCUAUCCAAGUUUUGAUCAGGGAUUAUGUUUUUGCUAAGUGUCAGUCAUUCUACAGAAGAAUAAUGAUAAUUUGGCUAACAGACUGUUGUUACACAAAGUGUACUAAGUUGUGUACUAAGGAACUGACUACUCUUGACAGGAGGACUUCCUAAAAUCUCAGCAGUCUUUCCCAGCACCUCUUUGAGACCUCAAAGUAAGUUUAAUAAGAAAAAAACAUACCACAUUUCCCAUCUAUAAGAUGCCCCCGUGUAUGAGUUUUGGGGGAACUCAGAUUUAAGAAAAUGGGGGGAGAUAGCCCAGAGUAUAAGAUGCCCCCUAAUCUUUGACAUUAUUUUUUAGGGACAAAACCUAGUCUUAUACACUGAAAAAUAUGGUGGAUGGCUUGAGCAAGCAAUGAAUGAUCUGGUGGUUCUGGUUUUGUGAAGAAGCAAAAGUGUUCUUUGACUUGGCAGAAGCAACCAUCAAGCUAGAAGAAAAUCUCUUUAUUUAACUCUUGGGGUGGUGGUGAAUGGAGCUGCCCAUUGUCCCUGCUCCCAAUCUCAACUUAAUGUAGCUGGUUGACGGAACAAACCCGAAGAGUGCUUGCUAAUGGUUCCUCACCAUCCUCAGUGCUGUGUUGCUGUUCAGUAUCUUUAUACAUGAUUUGGAUGAAGGAAUUUGAGGGGAUACCCAUCCAAAUUGCAGAUGACAUCAAACUCGGAGUGGUAGUUAAUGUCUCAGAAGACAAAAUCUGAAUUCAGAUUGGAGAACUGGGCCAAAACUAACAAAAUGAAUUUCAGUAACGGCAAAUGUCAGAUUCUACACUUAGGCACCAGUAUAAGAUGGGAGGACACUUAGCUUACUAGUAGUACAUGUGAAAAGGAUCUAGGGGUCUUAUGGACCACAAGCUUAACAUGAGUCAACAGUGUGAUGCAACAGCAAAAAAAAAAGCUAAUGCUAUUCUAGACUGAAUCAAUAGAAGUAUACAGUGGUACCUCGAGUUACAAACCCCUCAGGUUACAAACUCCGCUAACCUGGAAGAGUUGCUUCGAGUUGAGAACUUUGCUCCAGGAUGAGAACAAAAAUUGUGUGCUGGCGGCGCAGCAGCAGCAAUUGGCCCCAUUAGCGAAAGCACGCCUCUAGUUAUGAACAGUUUCAGGUUAAGAAUGGACCUCCGGAACAAAUUAAGUUCGUAACUAGAGGUACCACUGAAGUGUUCAGAUCAAGGGAAGUAAUAGUUCCACUCUUCUGCCUUGGUCAGACCACACCUGGAAUACUGUGUCCAGUUCUGGGCACCACGGUUUAAGAAGGAUAUUGACAAGCUGGAACAUGUGCAGAGGUGGGCAGCCAAGGGUCUGGAAACCAAGCCUUUGGAAUUGAGGGAGUUGGAAUUGAGGAACUGAUGGAGUUGGGUAUGUUUAACCUGGAUAAGAGGAGACUGAGAGGAGAUAUGAUAGGGCUAUCACAUGGAAGAUGGAGCAAGCUUGUUUUCUCCUGCUCCGGAGGGUAGGACUCGAACCAAUAGAUUCAAGUUUCAAGAAAUGAGAUUUCGACUAAGCAUCAGGAAGAAAUUUCUGACAAUAAGAGUUGUUCGACAGUGGAAUGGACUCCCUCAGAAGAUGGUGGACUGUCCUUCACUGGAGGUUUUUAAACAGUGGCUGGGUGGCCAUCUGUUAUGGAUACUUUGGUUGAGAUUCCUGCAUUGCAGGGGCUUGGGCUAGCUGACCCUUAGGGUCCCUUCCAACUCUACAAUUCUAUCAUUCUGUAACUCUUACGUUUCUAUAACUCUUAUGUGGUCACAACUUUGUCCCUACAAUCAGGAACCCUCAUUGUUCUGCUGGCAUUAAAAGAGAUGAGCGUUUUACAAUGCAUGUAACAGCACAUGCAAACUCCUUCCUUCCCUCCACAUGUCCAGUGUAAUGCGUGAAAGGUGUUUAUGUAUUUGCACAUUUGCAAAACAUGGUCAAUGACUUUAUAUAUAUGUGCCCUUGGGUAACUGGCUAAAGUUGCUUGGUGAAAACCAGCUGGGAUUUGGUUAUUUUGAGGCUUUUCUUCAUUACAAAGCUUGCAGCAUUUGAAACCAGUUGGAGGAUGUUUUCAAGUAAAGUAUUUUUGGGGGUGGCUGAUAUGGAAUGCAAGAGAGGCAUAAGCCCAUGAUGAGUAACCAAGUUCUGUUCCAAGCUUUCAGCGAUUACCAUCUGAUUCCAAGCUAGUGUAUCUUAAGGCCUGACAUACGUCAAUUGCUGUUGCUGUGGAAUUAAUGAAAUUACUAGACCUGAAAGCAUUAAUCAACAGAUUAAUUUAUUAAUUGACUGUGGCUUAAAAUCCAGCUGAAAACAUCCCUUAAUUAGUUGCAAGGGUGUUUGGCUUCUUCCAUGUGCAUCAGAGGAAACUGCUAUCUAUCAAAUGUUAUCAGCUAUUUGAACCACUGUAAAAACUGUAUAUUGUAAAAACAGUGUGCUAUAAUACGUUUAAUACAAUUCAAACACUUUGGACUGGAUUCAGUUACUUGGUUGCAUUAGUAAAGCCAGCAGGACUCCCACUUGUACUGAUGGAACAAUCUCCUUAGUUUUAUGUUGAAGUCCCCCCUCUGUGUGCCUGAUCAUCAGGGUGAGCUUCCUAGUCCCCCCCCCCCCAAAGGACCUACAAUCAUAUUUUGUGGAAAUUUCCAUUUGUCAUGCAUGGGUUGAAGGUUGCUCUGUUUUUGUUCACAAAGCAAUUUCUAAAGGAGUUGUGUUGCAAAUUUUCCAGUGCACAGCCAAUUUCCACAGUGAAGCUUAUCAUUAAUCCUUACACUGUUAAUGAUGAAACCAUUUGAUUCAUUUGCUAUCUGUUCUUUGGACUUCCUCUCCCUAAAGAAAAAGAAAAUGCAUUUUUAGUAGCCAUAUUGUCAGUAAAUUUCCUCUACUCAAGUGCAGGCUGCCUUUUCUGAAGGACCAUAGGAUCAAAGGUGUACUUCGACUUGGUUUGGAGUUCUUGCCAAAAGUAGUUUCAGUGCUGAAGUUUAAUUAGUAACUUUUUGGUGCUUGAGUUUGUGCAUGACCCCCCAAUGGAAUUUUCACAUUGCCAUUCCUGAGCAGACAAAUUCAGGAUGGAUAUGGUCUUUUUGAUGUGUUGUGCAGGGUCCAAAAAUAGACAUAAAACUUAUUCUCCAACAAGAUUCCAACUUAUUCUCCAACACUGGACUGGUGGGCUCCUUCUUCUGCCAAGCAUAAUUAUGGACCAUAAUUAUGGUCCACAUCUUUUCUACUGCUACAAUCCAGGAACUGAAGUGAGGUAUCUCCAAAGCUAGUAUCUGCAAAUCAGCUCAGUGGCCUUCCCCUCUGAUGUCUGUGAAACACUAUGCAGUGGAUCCACAUGCUAUAAGAGAAGAUGGUGUGAGCAUCACUUUGUCUGUUGAUUCAAGUUUCUAUUCCCCCACCAGGUUUACCCUAUGGGAUUGCAGUCAUGCUAUCUACUUGCCUUCCUGUAGAGCAGGGGCAGAGAACACCUGUGGUCCUCCACCGGUAUUCCUGGACUUCAGCCCCCAUCAUCCCUGUCCAUUGGCUAUGCUGGCUGAGGCUGAUGGCAGCUGGGCUCCCAACCAUAUCUGGAGUGCCACAGGUCCUCCAUGCCUUCUGCAGAGGCUUCCUGCAUUUGCUUCAUUUAUUUAAGAUGACAAGAGGGAACAGAGUGAGUGAAGUGCUGUCCCUGCAUUUGGGCUCCUCCACACUUCCACUUGUCCCAUGCCUAGAAAGCACGGGUCCGAGCGCAUUUUUGCUUCUCCUGCUAGCACCUUCGCAAAGCUAAGCAGGGUCCAAUAUGGUUUCAAAUUGGAUGAGGGACCACAUGUUGAGAUGCCUGUGUUGCAGCGGGUUGGCCUAGAUGACCAGCUAUUCAGUUCUGUGAUUCCAUGAUUCUAGUGUUGCAAAGAGGCAAGAGGAUCUUUUGAAACAUUGGAGGGGAACGAGGAGUCUGUAGGAAGCAGUUUGAGGCACUGCAUACCAAAGUCAUCACUCUGACAGGGGCCCAGCAUGCUUAGCAGCCCUGCUGUUUAUAGUGAAGGCAGAUAGAUGCAAGAGUGUGCACACAUUCAAUUUUCUAGGAGGAGGAGAGGACAUUUGUCAUUGUUACAGCUGCAUGAUGAAUUUGAGGGAGAGGAGAUGCGUUUUAGAUUCAGUCAGGAAUUAAGUUUCUGAUUUGAGGAAAGCCACAAUGUUAAAUUCUAAGCAUCCCUUCUUGCUUUUCCUCCUUUUAAGGGAUCUCAGAGCUUUUUAGGAGGGGCUGUUAACUUUAAAGACACCACAUAAUAUUUACAGGCCUCGUAGAUAUUAGUGGCUAGAGCUACUGUAACUCAGAAAGCCUUGUGUUCAGUAAAACAGAGAAGGAAGGCAAAGCUGAGGGGCAUGCCUUGUGAAAGGCAAGUGUGAAGGCUUCCCCUUUGAGACCUUUGAGCUGGUCUCAAGCAAACCAUCUGAAAGGUGAAAUGAUGCAGUUACAUCUUGUGAUGGUGGAAUAAGUAUCCCAGGUGCAGAAAGCUUCUGACGUCUUCAGUGAAAACAUGACAUUGCUUUGUAUAGAGAAAGUAAUGCAUUUACUAUUGCAAAAUACUAUUAAAAGAUAAAAUUAUAGUUGUACUGUAUUCUUUCUAAUGAGAGAAGCAACAUUUGCAUCCUUUCCACACAAGCUGUUUAUAAUUUUGUAUGCCCAUGUGAAGCUUCCCAUUUUAAAAAGUUGUUUCGAUCCUAGAAUGAGUGUUGAUCGCUUAAAUAACUUCCAGAGGAAUAGCCAUGUUGGCAGUCAAAACAACAAAAGAGUCUUGUGACGCCUUAAGGACGGUGAUUCUGAAUAGUGGUUAUAUUCUCAGGACAACGCUUUGUGCGUCAUGCAGCGCACAAAAGCUUAUGCCAGCCUUCCCCACCCCCGUGCCCUCCAGAUGUUUUGAACCACAUCAUUCCCAGCCAGCCAGGGAGUUGGAGCCCAAAACAUCUGGAUGGGAAUAGGUUGGGAAAGGCUGAUUUGUGCAAUAAAGACAUUUGCUAACAUUUAAGGUGCUGCAAGACUCUUUCCUAUGUACGUAUCUGCAUGUAUUGAUGACGUAUUCCUGGCGCUAGCAGUACAAGGAUCUCCGGUUUUGUAUUUUUCCCCCAAAUCUCCCAACUGUGAAUACAAAGGCAAUGAAAUCUGCUUGAGCCAGAUGGUUGGGGCUGAUUUGCAGAAGCAUGCAUAAAGCUGGAAGAAAAUCUCUUUGAGAAAUUAAAUCCUACUCUGUUUCUUCUUUCCGCUUCCCAAGGGUGUAAGUAGUCUCUGAAAACAUGUAAUAAGAAUAGCUCAUGCUUUCUCCUUCUCAGAAGAUAAAUAGUGUGGUUUUAUUUCACUUUGCAAGAACUUUGCAAGAACUCUUAGCAAGACGACAGAACAAGAGUCACAAUCAAGAUUUUUGAUUGCGCUACUCUGUGGAAUUACAUUCUCAAAACCUUACCCAACAUUUCAAUCUGUGGUCACAUCAGAUAUCACCUAAGAACAAAUUGGAUGGUAGCCAGGUAAGUUUUACUCAGAACAGACCUAUUGAAAUUGAUGAACAUGACUUUAAAUAGUCAUGGUUUCCCCCAAAGAAUCCUGGGAAAUGUAGUGUGUUAAGAGUGUUGAGAGUUGAUAGGAGACAUGUGCUCCCCUCACAGGGCUGAAUUUCUCAGAGUGGUUUAACAACCUAUUCCUCUUCACAGGGAAUUUUGAGAAUGGUAGCUCUGUGAAGGGAAUAUGGACCUCCAAACAACACUCAUCAUCCUUAACAAACUACAGCUCCCAGCAUCCUUUGGGGGAAGCCAUGGCUGUUUAGAGUGUUAUGAUACUAGUUUAGGUGCAUACUGCAGAUAGGGCCUUAGUCAUGUCCAUCAAUUUCGGUGGGUCUGUUCUGAGUAAAACUUAGUAAAACUGCUACCAAUUUAUUGAAACCAUGUCAUCCACAAAGAUAAAUGCUUCAAAACUAAAUCCUUCCAGCCCCCCUUUUAAAUGUCAGUUUUUAGCUGCGUGGGAGUCACUAUUCCAUUUUGUUGUGAGCUUCUCUUGCAAAUUUGGACACCUUUUAAAAUGACCCAGCCAUAUGCAACGUAGAAUGUGACUCUCUACCCUCCGACCCCCAUUUUUUCAAGCAAGGUGACAGUUCUGUGAUCCUAUUCAGAUCCUGCACAAUUGAGUCCCACUCAUGUGGUUGUGUCAUUUUGAACAGCUUCCCUCCACAGGAGCUACACACUGAAAAGUUGCCUGAGUAACAUUUAAAUGUCCCACCGAUCUUAUCAAUUACAGAAUAGGUUCAAACUGUGCAGUAUUCGGAAAGUGCCCAAACUAGCACACUUUGUUCAAAUUGAGCAAAAUCCAUUUCAAUAAAAAAGGAAAUAAAGAAAAACCAGUGGUGGCUCCAUUCAUUAGAUACCAGUGGCUUUAACAUGAUAAACGGUGGCUUUGAAAUACAUCUGCUUUGGAUCUUGCAUAGACUUGCACAUAUAAGAAUCCUGGUUGAUUCUUUCUUACUUUUUCCAUAUAAGAUGUAAAUGUUGACAUCUUAAUACCAAUCUUGCUACAUUUGUCUAUUUUAAUAAUUCAUAAGAGACAGUGUUUCUGUCUCUUGCAUUCAACAUUGCACAGCUGGCUUGGUAACUAAUUGAGGAGUGGUUGUUCCCUUCAGUUAUGUCUCUGAGCAUUAGCCACUGUAGAACACAAGGCAGCUGAGAACUUCUACUAGGUGAUUUAUUGAGCUGUGUUUGGUCUCCCAGUUCUUUUUGAAUCUGUGCCUGGUUUUCUCCCUCAGAAGCUGCCAUUGGGAAGAUCACGACCUGUUUAGAUUCCUCCUUGGUCCUCUGGUGGGUUGCGUUUGUCUUCUGCAACAUAAGGUUAUCUAUAUUACCAAGAAGGCUGGUGGUUUGAGCCCACCCAGGGACAGCUGUGUGCAUUGCAGCAAGUGGGACUUGUUGAACCUCUACAAGUCUGUGAUUCUAUAUGUUGUGCACAAUUUGUCAUGAUGCACGAUAUCAGCUUCUCUUAGACCUUUGGGGCUUUGAACUGUGUGACAUAGUUCUUUUUUCUUUUCUUGCUUUUCCUUUUUGUUAAAAAAAAAAACCCCUGGCUGCUGCCAGCCAACACACUUUAUAGGCUGAGUAUGCUGAGUUUCUGUGGCCUUCAGAAUGCUACAGCAUCAUGAUGUGAAAUUCCAGAAUAAUGAAAGCAGCCCUAUUCCCAUGGUCUCUGUUCCUCUGUGGAUUGUUAUCUUUGUUCCUGUAUGAUUCAGACUGCCUUGAAAGCAUUUGGAGCCCUGUUUUAAUCUCUGUUUGCUGGUCAGAGCUCGCACUUCUGAAAAAAAUACAAUUUCACCUGAUAUUUAUUCUCUUUGCUACUUAACUUGCUUCACCCACCUGAAUAAAUUCUUGUUCGUGUUCUGUAGGCCAGCGUGUGUUUUAUAAGAUUAGCCUCUUCAUCUUUUAUCUCUUUAUUUCCUGUGUCCUUGAUCUCCUGUUGCCUCGUUGUUGUGGAUUUCCCUUGCAUGCUUUAGGACAGAACUGACACAUUUUGUCCUAAGAGAGCGGUUGUAAGUUCUGCAGCUGACAAGUGUUUUGGGAAGGACUCUUGUGCUUUCAACAGUUCCUUUCCCUGCUGAUUUUUCCAUUGUGUCACAGCUAGAGAUGCUUAAGGAAUUCAGUUUCUGUGAAUUCUGAUGCAGACUGACCUGAUCUGUACCCCCUGAACUAAUGCUCAGGUUGGAAACUAAUUAUUCUUUAGAUUUCACACUUACCUGAAUUUUGCAACAUAGCUCUCAGCUACAAAAAGGUGCAAAAACAUGUUUAAAAUGCAUAUUUUAGAGUAAGAUGUGUUUAGAAAUGUGCAUAUUCACAUAAAAUACGCAUUUAAAUUAGAUAUUUUGUGUUGAGAUAUGUAAUUAAAUAUCGCAAGUGCAAUGUAUAAGAUAACAUUGUGCUUUCAUAUUGUCUCAAGACAGUUUUUAGUAAUAAGCCUCUAAGGAUUCAAUCAGUGAAUUAAAUGUGUGUUUGAUACAGUUUAACAUGAAUUUAAUAAACAAAAAAAGCAAAGGUAUGUCAAGUAGAACCUUCCCUUCCCCAAUUCACAGUUGGAAAAUACCUUUGUUAAGACCAACCUAAUUGUCACAAAAUAGUGACAUGCUUUUGAGUCCCCGGGGAGUUCAAUCAUGCCUAAGGUGGGCUCCAGUAUAAUCCUUUUCUGUGUAAAUUCUCACAGGAUUGUUGCGACAAAGAAUGAACAUGUAAUAGCACUUUUUACAGUGCUAUAGACACAGUUUUUCUACAGUUAUGACACAUAAGUUGUUAAGGAAUGUAGUUAAUGUGUUAAUUCCAUUAGUGAGGAAAGAGCUGGCUCAUUCCUAAAAUGCAGCUGGCCCGAAUCUGGUGCUACUGGACAGAUUAGGCACAUAACUCAAAUUACAGCAUGGGUUGUGGGUCAUUGGUUCUUAUUAGGAAGGAGUGGAUUGUUGUGCAACUGUGGAGUUACCUGAACACCUUGAGAAGAGCUCAUCUGAGAAGAAGACUUGGAGAAUUGCCAUAUCUUUGCACUCCGAGAACUCUAAGCUGCUGGAGGACUCUCUGCAUGUUGACUUGCCUGCAUUGCAGGGGCUUGGAACUCCCUUGGUGUCCUUUCCAACUCUACAGUUCUAUGUUUCUAUAACUUAGAACUUGCAUGUUGACAUCCUUCGGCAAGGACGUUGAAGUACAGGGACCCCUCUGGGACCAGAGGGAGAAAACUCUUGGUGUAACCUGCAUAUACUGUAUAAAUAUAGUGUGUGUGUUUUUUCAUCCUACCCAACUUCCAAGGAGGUUAGGGCAACCACAUGGCUUUGCUGGCCCUGCAAGUUUCAUCUGUGAGACAGGUUGGGCUUUAGCAGGAGCAAUUGGCUCAAAGCCACCCAGUGAGAUUUACGGCUGAGUGGAGACCUGAACCCAGGCCUUCCUCCCUUUAUCAUAGUCUAGCACUCUUGCCCCUCCACAUCCCAUUGGCUCGGGAUCAUUUCCAGCAUCCCAUUCCUUUCAACUCAUAUCAUAGUUCACUUCUCAGAAGUGAGACCUGCUUUUUAUUCUACUAUUGAUCAUUUGAAGUGGUGUUUUUAUGUCUCCCUCUGUUAUGCAUGUGCAGCCCUGGUGAUUUUAAUAGAAAGUUUUGCAUAAAGCCUGAGAGUAAGACAUUUGUUUUUGGUAUUUGAGAUUCCUGCUUUGUAUGAACUCUCUGGCUAGUUCUAAUAAAAAGGCAUGAUUUAUAUAGCCUAUGCACCAUGUAAGUGUGCUUGAGGUACAGCAACAGUUGCAGCUCUCUGGAUAGUAAUCUGCUUUUUUUCCAUGGCAUUUUAUAGGCCCAGUGUCAAUCUGAGGGCAUAUUCUGCAUUAUUAUUACUUUCUGUGGCAGCCCCAAAUGCAGAAAUGUAUCUGGAAGGGCUAGAUAGAUGUUUAGGCUCUAAGAAAAGCAAUGUAUCUCUUUUCAGCUGGUUUGGAAUGUGUUGCAUGUUGCUUGCACUAGAGCUUAACCCACAGAUUGAGAACUUCCUGUCUUCCAGCUUUUGUUGGACUACAACUCCCAUCAUCCCACACCCAUUGACCAUGCUGGCUCAGGUCGAUGGGAGCCAGAGUUAGCCAACUUCUGUUGGCUGCCCCUGGCUUAAUCUGUUAUCUGAGUUAGAAUUCCCCCAUUCAUAUUUUUUUCUGUGCUGUAAUUAUACCCAUAUUAGCAAAGUGAAUCAUACAAAAUACUUGCAGUUCUUUUACUUAUUUAUAAAACUUAUAUCCUGCUUUCUCCCCAGAAAGAAAAUUGAAGCAUCUUACAACAAUCAAACAGACAUGUAAGAAAAUCAACUUCACAAAAUGUAUUAAGCAACCAUAAAAAUAUGGAAUCUGUUUAAAAAAGGAAAAUCAGCAAAAAUGGGGAACUCAUAAAACUCAAAAAAAACCUAAAGUGAAGGCACAGAAGAAAACAACCUUCAGUUUUCUUCAGCUGAAGGCCUUCCAAAACAAUCAGGUUUUGGCUAAAUGCCUGAAGUAAGGAGGACCUCAGGACUGAGGGCCAAGGGUGGCCCUCCAGGUUUCAAUAUAUGACCCUCAGUACCCCAUCCAAGCUACAUACCUCUCCUUAAGCCAGACCUCUCACCUAAGCCAGACCUCUUCUCUUUGCUUUCCUGAUUCUAGCUAGGCAAAAGCACUUAAGGACUUGAACUGUGUGGAGGUCCCGUGCUUGCCUGGAUGAAGAAUUGUGGCGAGUAGGGGCAGAGACCCCUGGCAUCCAUGUGGCUGGCAUGAACAAAACCUGUCUGCUUUAUGCAGAUGUUGAGUGUGGAAUAUUUUGGUAAUUGCAGCGCAGUGCAAUAAUAUAUUGUAUUCCCAGAGGAGGUAAAGAUAAUUCAAAAUCAAAGAAACUGGCCAAGGCCCCAGCAUAUAGGCUGAAGGCAUAUAAGGCCCUUGUUGAAGCUAAGCAGGGGUCAGACCCAGGUCAGGAAGAAAGGAAGAAAUAUGAUGCUGGUGAAGUUAAGUCUUUAUUUAAGGAAACAAAAUACAACUCAGCCUGGUGGUCUCAGCAACCCUUUCCAAUAGGUCUUGCCCCUAUGGAGCAGUUCCCAGGAUUGAAGGCCUUCUACCACCCUUAAAACCUUCAGGAUGUUCCCCAAGCAGUCUCAAACUGUGUCUGUCCACCUCUGACCUCUGCUCUGCUUUUCUCAUUACUCUGCAUGUUCUUGGAGACCAGCGGGAAGGGGAGCUUGUCACAGCAGGAGGGAGAGACUCCCUGGAUUCUUCAGCAUGAUGCUCCAUCUCUGCUUCAGCCUCAGAGUCUGAACUGUUCCCUGUCACAGGCUCUGCCUGUUCACUAAACCCUGUUGCUCUUUCAGCUUCGGACACCACCUCCCACCAAUCUUCUCCCUCUGACAGCUCCUCUGUGUCCCACAAUCAAUCCCCUGGCUCUGAGCCUUACACCUCUGGGGUUUUGCUUGGGGAUUCCCCAGCUGGUGUCUCUCAUUCCUCUUUGACCAGCCAGUCCCUGACAGCAGAUCAGAGUCUGGUCAGUGCUUGGAUGUAUGGCCACUUGGAAACUAUGUUUACACUGCCUUGGGGGUCUAUGAUAGCAGAAAAGUGGGAUGUAAAUGUAAGAAAAGUAGAAUUGGCUGUGUUGUAUUUACUUGCUCUUCUCAUUACAGUGAUUACAGAUUUCUCUCAUUUCUCAAGUUUGCACAGCAGAUUACUGUUAUACUAACUUUUGACAUCUUGGGCAACUUCAGGAAAUGCAUACAGCAUAUGCAGCAUAGUCUUUUCUCAGAGUGUCCACUGGUGCCAACUCAGUUUGUUCCAUAUAAGAAAAAUGUGGCACAAACAGUAGCCUUAGUCAUGACUAUCUAUGGCAGUAGCCGGUUAGCAGUUGAUCUUGGUAUAAUUUAGCAGCUGUCUUUAGGAAUAACAUCUGCUUUAAAUGGAGCGAAUGAACAUGAGCACAAAAAAGGAAACCUCUGUGCUCUGAGUUCCUUUAUGGAUGAAAGUGGGAGGAGAGGCGGUUCAGUUCAGGAUAAGAAACAGAGCCCGUGGCAAGGGAAGGAUUUCCCUUGGCUUCCCUGCCAAAUGAGCGAAGGGGAAGCAGAGAAGUUUGCUCCUCAGGAGGGAACUGCUGUCAGAGUCCACUUCUUCCUCUCCCAGCAACUCUUAAUGCUCCAUGCCACAUUGCUUCAGAGAGGACCUUGAUUUUUCAUAGAGGCUUUUUUGUGGGGCAGGUAGUUGUAGGGAAAAGGUUCUUAUUUUAGGAUCCAAGCUAAUCUUCUUCCACAGAACCUGAGAGGCAGCUACCAGGUUUGUUGGGAAACUUGACUGUUUGCUAACAAUUCUUCACUUACUUGCUCAGUAGCCUAAGCAGCAGUAAUAACACCAAUCAAAAGUCUUAUUUAAAGGAACGUACACACAGGUGCAGGGACAUGGGUGGCACUGUGGGUUAAACCACAGAGCCUAGGACUUGCCGAUCAGAAGGUCGGCAGUUUGAAUCCCCACUACGGGGUGAGCUCCCAUUGCUUGGUCCCUGCUCCAGCCAACCUAGCAGUUCGAAAGCACGUAAAGGUGCAAGUAGAUAAAUAGGUACCGCUCUGGCGGGAAGGUAAACGGCGUUUCCGUGCACUGCUCUGGUUCGCUAGAAGCGGCUUAGUCAUGCUGGCCACAUGACCCGGAAGCUGUAUGCCGGCUCCCUCGGCCAAUAAAGCGAGAUGAGCGCCGCAACCCCAGAGUCAGUCACGACUGGACCUAAUGGUCAGGGGUCCCUUUACCUUUACCUUACACACAGGUGUAUCAGCUCUGGCCUUCGUAGGCCCAUACUGAGUUAGCUAUAUUGUUGUGGGUUGAGGUCCAUGUGUGACUGCUGACCUUGGGUGGGUUGUGUUUUAGCACAACCAGAACCACUAAGAAAACAUCAGCUGCAAUGGAUUAAAAACCUGCUGCAUGCAGUCUGGGCCAUGCAGAAUGUCUAACAGUCAUCGUGGGUGGAAAACACAGCUGUGCAUGCCCUAAGAAGGUCAUAUGAGUGGACUUGACUACUUCAUUUCUCAUUUUGCUCUGCCCUUCUGUAAAUAAGUUUUAUUACCCUCAGUCCUCUUCACUUCUUUGCUUGACACCUGUCAUUUUUGGAUAACAAAAACACUACCAGAACCACCAACAUAUUAAUAGAAUAGGGAAAGCAGUUUCUAGCAAUAUGAUUACGUAAUGCAUUUUCAAGUCCCCCGUCUUUCAACUUUUCUGUUCAAGUUGCUCCAAGGGUCUCUAGGUGUGAGAUAAGAUAAGCAAGGUAACAGGGGAAGGCUUCAGUAAUGAGUGUUUUGUUUACAAGGCCGUAUAGCAUGUGCGUGGAGUGGAGAAAUAGGCUCAGUUAUGGAUUUAACUUUGGCAAAUCAGAUGUAAAUCAGAUGCAGGUCUCAUACUGGGUAGUAUGCAGCAAUGUUUUGCUCGAGAGUAGACCCAUUGAAGUUAAUGAACAUGGAGGGCACCAUGUUUGCUAGCACUGUUGUACUAGAUCACUUUGUGUAGAAGGUAGUCUUAAGAGGGGCGAGCCGGUGAACCUUUUACUACUUGUGAUGCAGUGCCUAGUAUAUAUUGGACACUUUGAUUUUUUAAAAUAAAUGUUGAUGAAGUACGGUGGACCUGGUCUGAGCACAUUUCCUUUGCCCUGAAAAGAAAUGCUCACUUUGGCAUGAAGUGAGCAUAUGUUCAGCCAAACCACUUCUUCACUUUAAAUAAAUGUUUGUCUUUACCUUAAACUGCAGUGAUUGAUUACAGAAAAAGAAAAGGGACAAAACUCUACACUGCUUUUUUUGUUGUUGUCAUUUUAUUUUGAUUAGUAGAAUACAUUGUUUUAAAAAUGGAUGGAUAGAUAUUCUUAACAUACGUACCCAUUUAGCAGCAGAUGAAAAAUGGCCGGUCCUCACUAAAUUUGCCUGACAGCUGGUGACUGACUUGAAUCUAAUAUGUAAGCUUCAUAAGCUUUGCCAUAAUGUUUUGAAACGGUCAUAAACCUUAAGAGUAUCCUAGUCACACAUUUAACCUGCCACAUUUAACCUUCCUCUGCAUAAGAAAUUUAUGACAGGUUCCAAAUACAAUCCUCAACCUUCUCCUUAAAGCAAAUCACAAAAAAGAAUGGUUAUUGGGUCCCAUGGGAACUCAGAGUCUGCAAUAUAUUUAAGCAGGCAGCAAGAUGGCUGGAAUUAGAUAUUCAGUGCCAGGUCUGGGAAUCCUGAUUGCCACUGAAUAGCUACAAAAUAGGGCCAAGGUGCAGGAAUUUAGGGUGGGAGAGACUGUACUUUGCCUUGUGCACCCACUGCCUGUCCCUUGCCACUCCCUUCCUAGAGUCAUUACUCGGCACAAUGUUGGAAAACAUACCCAGAACUCCUUGUAGCAGGGGGCAGAAAGAAGCUAGGGGAGGAAUUGUGAGGAAAAGCUACAGGCAGAAGGGUUUAUGUGCUUCUUCCCACUUAGUUUGAGAUUAAAUCCUCUUCAUGCCCCUCUGUACCUGUUGGACUGCACUUGGAUCUGCCGCUGAACGCCUAAUUUUGCUAUCACCAAAUCACGAUUUCCAGAGUUCUUUGGCGAACAGCUAAAUUCAUCUCCACAGGUAGACAACAUACCAUAUUGCAUGUGCACACCCCCUAAUUAAUUUAGAGUAUAAGCAGGGGUUUUUUUCCAGCCAGAACUCACCAGAGCUCAGUUCCAGCACCUCUCAGGUAGGUGUUAUUGCCAUUCUAAGAGAACAAGGGAGGUGUUCAUGGUGAGUUCCGACACAUCUUUUUUCUAGAAAAAUAGCACUGAGUACAAGGAACUGGCAGUUCUGCAUCUGCAAGGAAUUGAUCAUCUGUUGUGGUAGCACCUAGUCACUGGAAUCUGCCUCUUUUGCCCAUUCAUAUAUCUCUGUUUUAUUGUUUUUGGCACCUGCUAACCUAUUUUUUUUGGGGGGGGGGGGAAAGCCUAUCCACACAAGUAAAUUUAACAUGCAGUUUAUUAUGCAUAUUUGCUUUGGAACUGCUGGCCUUUUUAAUAUUUUGCUACAUUUUAUGUCAAUUGUAUUUUUAGCUUUCGAUUUGGUUGCUAUUUUUUAAAUGAAGAUCUUAUGUCGCCUCAUGUAAACCACUCAGAGGUUUCUGUCAAUUAAACAGCAUAUAAAUCUUGUCAAGUAAAUAAAAAGAAACCAACAUGUAAAUGUGAUGAAUAUGGUGAAUCCAACAUAUGGUGUAGGUAGGAGGACAGCAGAAGAUUCUUCACACUUUCCUUUUAUAGAGAGUGCCUAUGACCUUUUGGGUCCGUGGUGCAAGGGAUGUUUGAGAUUCAUGGCUAAUGCCAUAUAUGCAGAAUAGGAGAGAAUGAUUAGGGAUGUAGGCAGCACGCCUCUUUGGGGAAAUGCCUGGCACCCUUCCAACCAACUCGUAAUUGCUUCACCGCGAAAAGCUGCAACGCAGACAGACGCAGCGACAGGAAAGGAAGAAAAUCCCUAAAAUGCUGAAGUUGGUGAUGUAAUGGGGAUUUGAUUCAUAGCUGACCGCUGUUCUCAAGAGUCACCUUCGAGCGGAGGAGUGUGCUCCCCUCCCUCCACAGGCAGAUGAUUUACUGCUUGACAGGUAGCUCACCAAAGCCCUUUGGCUGGAAUCAGAUGGCUUGUCUGAUCCCAGCCAGUACACAUCCAUUUUCUCAUACCUUCAUUCAGGAGGGAGCGAAAUAAGGCUGACUGAGCACAGUGCAUCUAACAAAUGCUUUGUCGGGUUACAGGAGCUCAGGUAUUAAAAAUUUAUUUCUACCAAGGCUGAAGCAACA
rnacentral:lncRNA from 1 species